rnacentral:rRNA from 1 species
UGGGGAAUAUUGGACAAUGGGGGGAACCCUGAUCCAGCCAUGCCGCGUGUGUGAAGAAGGCCUUUUGGUUGUAAAGCACUUUAAGCGAGGAGGAGGCUCUUCUAGUUAAUACCUAGGAUGAGUGGACGUUACUCGCAGAAUAAGCACCGGCUAACUCUGUGCCAGCAGCCGCGGUAAUACAGAGGGUGCGAGCGUUAAUCGGAUUUACUGGGCGUAAAGCGUACGUAGGCGGCUUUUUAAGUCGGAGGUGAAAUCCCUUAGCUUAACUUAGGAAUUGCAUUCGAUACUGGGAAGCUAGAGUAUGGGAGAGGAUGGUAGAAUUCCAGGUGUAGCGGUGAAAUGCGUAGAGAUCUGGAAGAAUACCGAUGGCGAAGGCAGCCAUCUGGCCUAAUACUGACGCUGAGGUACGAAAGCAUGGGGAGCAAACA